GUUGAAGGGGUCACUCAAGGAUACUCUGAGGUGGAAUUUUAAUGGGCCAGUUCUGAGGCAAUUACUUAAUGUAAUUAAGAAUGUUGUCAUGGAACAUGUGGUGCCCAAAUGAUUUGCUCAGAUACAUACUGCCAGCCAUAGGGUUGUCCAGCGUCCACAGCAUGAAGGAAAGACCUCCGCUCUGCCUUGAGACUCAGACCCUUGCAAAUGCAUUGUGCGUGUGUAGUACAGCAGGAGGGAUAUUACCAUUAAUAACAGCAUUCCCAAGUGCAGCCUCUUUUAAAUGCCAUUCUUUAUCUUACACCAUAUAGUGUUAUUAUUCAGCACCAUUAUCAUUAUUACGCACCAGCAACAGGUCACCAAGUUUGAAGAAUUAAUUAUGCAAAGUAUUUUUUCUUUGCCCUCUGUAUGAACGAACAUUAAUUAAAGUAUUAGUUUUUUGUAACUAAUGUAAAAACACAGGUUUUAUAGAAUUGUACAGUUCUUUUGUUGCUGCUUUUUUUCCCUUGUUUUUUUGGGAAGUGUGUUUUUGUUUGCAGAAAAGAGAGGGAAAGCCAUCUGUCAACAUUAUGAAAAUGUGUGCCUGCCAAUGUUACGGUCUUAUUGAGUUUAACAUGAAGAUAUAUAUAUAUAUGAAGAUAUCACUAGUCUCAAACUCCAGGUUGUUUGGGAUUUAAUUCAGAUUUUUCUCACACUAGAUAUUAUUACCCAAACAUUGAUAAAAGGGCUUUUCAAUGUACUUUUUUCUUGUUGCCUCUCCUAUAAGCUGAAUUACAUUGCUAUUCUAUAUUCUUGCAUUUUUUUGGGGACUGAUCUUACUCUCUAGCUCUGUCAACUACCACCAAUGACACAUCCCUAGGCUGCCAAACCCUUACUCUGCUGUCAGUGCCUUUUCAAAAAUGUAUCACUUCAUUUUCAGAUUUGAUAACUAUUGUAGCUUUUAAUUGAAUAAUGUUUUUGGUAUGAAGGAGACACUUUUUGUUAAAGUACACCUUGGAGUUUGAGACAAACGGCCGUAAGUGAACUGAAGUAAAAGAAGCAAACUUAGCCUAGUUUUUUCCUCCUAUAACAGUUGUUUGUUUGCCUCCAAUGUCCAGAGCAGCAGUGCAUGGCUGGCUGUUUUCAGACUGUAAAAAAAAUGCAUUUAUUUAAAAAAAAUAAAAGUUUUUAUUUAAGGAA
ensembl:lncRNA